rnacentral:lncRNA from 1 species
UUAUUGCUGCAGUCAUUGCUGAAGCAAACAUUGUGACUGAUGUGAACAAAUGGGUGGUAGACUCUGGAGCUACCCGACAUAUAUGUGCUACUAAGGAUGCCUUCACCUCCUACAAUACUGUGGGGGAUGGAGAAGAACUGGUUUACCUUGGUGACUCUCGAACUGCUGCUGUUUCGGGAAAAGGGAAAGUUAUGUUGAAGCUCACAUCAGGAAAGACCUUGGCUCUAAGUGAUGUCUUACAUGU